GACGAACGCUGGCGGCGUGCUUAACACAUGCAAGUCGAACGAAGUGGCGAACGGGUGAGUAAUACGUGGGUAACCUGCCCUCCUUUUUGGGAUAAGCCUUGGAAACGGGGUCUAAUACCGAAUAGUGUGGGAUGGGCCCGCGGCCUAUCAGCUUGUUGGUGGGGUAAUGGCCUACCAAGGCGGCGACGGGUCGCCGGCCUGAGAGGGUGGACGGCCACAUUGGGACUGAGACACGGCCCAGACUCCUACGGGAGGCAGCAGUGGGGAAUAUUGCACAAUGGGCGGAAGCCUGAUGCAGCGACGCCGCGUGGGGGAUGACGGCCUUCGGGUUGUAAAGCUCUGUUAAUCGGGACGCGGUACCGGAAUAGAAAGCCACGGCUAACUACGUGCCAGCAGCCGCGGUAAUAC
rnacentral:rRNA from 1 species